AAAUCAAGCGAGUGAAGAAUUUUUGGGCACUGUUUGAAUGUUUGAAGUUCCUAAUGUUGAUAAGCUCUAUCUGUCUUCGAUUAACCUUGCCAGCUGAGGACUUUUAUUUUGCACGAAUGGCGUAUGCAGUAACAUUAGGAUUAUUUAUUAUCAACAGUAUGAAGUUUUUCCUUGUUUGGAAACACAUUGGACCCAAAGUUAUCAUGAUUGGGAAAUUGAUGAUCGACCUCCUUUUCUUUAUCUUGAUAUUUGUUGUGUUUGUGUUUGGAUUCGGAGUCAUUCAGCAAGCAACUAUGUUCCCAAAUUCCAUAUCAGGGUUCCCGCUUUUUAAUAAUAUCAUACACAUGCCAUAUUGGCAGUUGUAUGGAGAAUUGUUCCUAGAUCAUAUCACUGGAAAGGAGCCAGACCCUUGUACAAAAGAUGAAGCACUAUACAGUAAUGGGACUAUUCCAAGAUGUCCAGAGAUUAACGACAUGAAUAUUUCUCUAUUGGCUGUUUACAUGGUGUUAACGCAUAUAAUUCUUGUAAAUAUUCUCAUUGCUAUG